rnacentral:lncRNA from 1 species
AGAGAAGAGAAGAGAAGAGAAGAGAAGAGAAGAGAAGAGAAGAGAAGAGAAGAGAAGAGGAGUAAAAGCCGGCCAUGGGCACAUGGAGAGAAAGAGGGAGGGGGAGAGAAGGGACAGAGGGGAAUCGAAUUAGAGAGCAAGAGAAGAACAAGAGAGAGAGGAGGGGGCAAGUAGCCCCUUUUAUAGUGAGUCAGUCACACCUAUCUGUUGCCAGGUAACUGUAGGACGAGCUUACUUAGACAGAAUGCUAACAACCUAGGCAACGGUGUCAUCAUAAUCCACAUGACAGGAAGGAGUGUUGUCCACAGUGAAGCUGGUGGGAGACUGAGGAUGUGUUGCCUGCUGCAUGACCUGCAAGUGAAGCUGUGGGCUUACAAGGCCUCAGUGACACCCACCAAGGGACUUGCCAUGAUGAGACUCGAUCCUGGGCAGACUGAGCAGAUGCUGGGUCCUGUGGAUGUGACAUGGAACGGAUGUCACCUUCAGUCUUCUGCAGCAUCCAAAGUCCUGCAAGAUUCCUGGAGCCAGUGACAUCCUGUGAAAACUCAUGGAAGUCUCUGGAAAGAAGAAGCUCAGAAUUUACCGAGUUUGUCAGUGACCACAUGAUCAAUUCCACCCCACAGAAUCUAAAGAAUAAGACCCUUGGCUUCAGCAAGGGACACGGGUAAAUCCCACACUGGUGUCCUGGGACAGUGAAGGCCAAGUGUUGUGGUACCGCAGCUGGGACUGGGCUUUCGAUCUAUCCCGGACUUAUUUAGCUUUAUAUAAGCCUUACCCUCUUUAUAUAAUCCUUGGACACCCAUGGAGGCAGCUUUGCCUUUGAGGGGUCAUAUGACAAUAUCUGGGAAUAUUUUUCUUACCUUUGGGUGUGUGACUACUGACAUCUCAACGUUAGGGCCCGGGGAUAUGAUGAACACCCUGCGACACACAGGACAAGCUCCAUCGUGCAAUGUGCUCUGACUCAAUGGCCAGUACUAAGAGACAGUUGGCUGUAAGCCCCAAAGAUUCAGCUUCUAGAUUUCCGAAAUAUUGUCAUAUUCCAAAUUCGUUCAUACAAGCUAAUCAUGCUAGCUCCCAUAUUUCAAUAAUUAUAUCUUAGAGACCAAAGUAGGACAUUUGAGAUAAUGCAUACAGAGAGGGUUGGGGGGAGGCAAUACAGAAUCAUUCACUUUCUGGGCGGCUUUCAUUAAAUUUGGAUGAAUUUAUCACAUCAUGGUGUGAAUGUAAGAUUAAGCCCCAAAUAAGACCAGUAUGACGUUUGCCUGUGACCCAUCACCUCGGCACAUCCCCUGAUGUCCCCACAUUAGCAACCAUGGCAGGAGCCCAGGCAGUACCGCCUGUAAACACAAUGUCAACUGAAGGAGAGGCAUGUAAUUACACCAGGCAGGAGACAGAGCUCACCAAAUUGCAUGUUUUCCAGCUUCCCACUUCACAGUUUAAUAAUAUCGCCUGUAAUUAUAGAGCGCUACGGCAUGUGAUGUCAUGGACACACUCAAUAUGUGCUUUGGGGAUCUUCAGUGGCCCGCUAUACAUCCAAGGCUUCCCCUGUGUGCAGAAUGCUCUAACCUCCCUAUAGAUUUAAUUAGUCAGAAAAGCAGAGGAAACAGCAAUAAGACAGCUGCUGCAGAGGCACCUCCAAGCCAAACACACUGGCUCACUGACAAGAAACACUCGCCCAGAGUCAGUGAAGACCC